CUGCUGAUGGGACUUAAUGAAAAAUGUAAAGGAGUCAUCACCAAAGAGGGCAAUACUGCCGCAAUUGACAAGAUGUGCACCUUUCAUCCAAAUCCAAUUACUACUAUUCUUCCUGACAGUUUGUGGACAGAUGCCCCCAGUAGAUGCCUGUAUGUUUAGGCUAUGAUACUCAUCAGGGAAGCUCAGUGAAGAACUUCUGUCUCUGAAGACCCUUGGGGCUGGUGGUGUAAACGCUUUGUGGAGAAUCUGAGCACAUUCAUCCACAGGGUUGUUGAGGAAUGAACAUGCCAUAUUUGGUUGCAACUGGCUGGUCUUUAGAUGCACUGCUUAUAUAGUCUGAAUCUCAAAUCGCGUGCUUGUAUACUAUAUAGUAUGUGAGAAGAUUAGUAUGUCUCAAA